AAUUUAUUUCUUGGAAAAUUAAAGAGAAAUCUUAAAACGAGGCCACUCGAAGAGACUUAGUAUUGGCACUCGACCGUUACAAUGGCUGGCGAUUGGUCGGAGGCGGGUAACCGGAAACGUGGCCGAAGAGUAGCCUGUGACAAACGGCGCCGCGUAUCGCGAGCACCGUUAUAAAACAAAUGCGGAUGGAACAAAGCUGACAGUGGCCGAACGAAACGAACAACGCGGAAUCCAAGGGUGAAAGUGGGCGAGGCCUCCGGCUAAGGGGGUAGUUCGGCUAAUGCGCGAUGAUUAAACUAACGGCUGCCACCAAUCACUCCGCCACGAAAACUCUCCCAUUCUCUGUCAUUCCAAACCUCGAGACGUCCAAUUUUUUUCCUUCCUAGUUUUCCUUCUAAUUUUUUUCUUUUUCUCCUUCUUAUUCUUGACAUAGUUUUUCGUGUUAUACUUCUUCGUCAUUGGACCGAAAUUAUUAAUCGAAAUGGACGGAGGAAAAAGUUAAUUCAGAAAAGAGUGUAAAAUUGAUAUUGUAGAAAAUUCAUUAAUGUAAAAUUUAUUAUCCAUCGAGUGUUUGUCUUCGACAGAAUUAUCGAGUCAUCGUACGUUCUAGGCGAAAAUCGUUUAUACGAUAUUUUAUACAUUUUCAUUUGAUAUUGUAAAAAAAAAAAAAAAAGAAAAGAAACAAGGAGAAUUUAACUCGAAAUUAAUUCACGGCCGCAUGUGCGAUAAUCUCGAGCAAACA